rnacentral:rRNA from 1 species
AGACGAACGCUGGCGGCGUGCUUAACACAUGCAAGUCGAACGGAAAGGCCCUGCUUGCAGGGUACUCGAGUGGCGAACGGGUGAGUAACACGUGGGUGAUCUGCCCUGCACUUCGGGAUAAGCUUGGGAAACUGGGUCUAAUACCGGAUAGGAACCAUCUUUAGUGUGGAGGUUGGAAAGUUUUUUCGGUGUAGGAUGAGCUCGCGGCCUAUCAGCUUGUUGGUGGGGUAAUGGCCUACCAAGGCGGCGACGGGUAGCCGGCCUGAGAGGGUGUACGGCCACAUUGGGACUGAGAUACGGCCCAGACUCCUACGGGAGGCAGCAGUGGGGAAUAUUGCACAAUGGGCGCAAGCCUGAUGCAGCGACGCCGCGUGGGGGAUGAAGGCCUUCGGGUUGUAAACUCCUUUCGCUAGGGACGAAGCUUUUUGUGACGGUACCUAGAUAAGAAGCACCGGCUAACUACGUGCCAGCAGCCGCGGUAAUACGUAGGGUGCGAGCGUUGUCCGGAAUUACUGGGCGUAAAGGGCUCGUAGGUGGUUUGUCGCGUCGUCUGUGAAAUUCUGGGGCUUAACUCCGGGCGUGCAGGCGAUACGGGCAUAACUUGAGUGCUGUAGGGGUAACUGGAAUUCCUGGUGUAGCGGUGAAAUGCGCAGAUAUCAGGAGGAACACCGAUGGCGAAGGCAGGUUACUGGGCAGUUACUGACGCUGAGGAGCGA